rnacentral:rRNA from 1 species
CAGUCGCCGCGGGAAUACGGAGGGUGCAAGCGUUAAUCGGAAUUACUGGGCGUAAAGCGCACGCAGGCGGUUUGUUAAGUCAGAUGUGAAAUCCCCGAGCUUAACUUGGGAACUGCAUUUGAAACUGGCAAGCUAGAGUCUUGUAGAGGGGGGUAGAAUUCCAGGUGUAGCGGUGAAAUGCGUAGAGAUCUGGAGGAAUACCGGUGGCGAAGGCGGCCCCCUGGACAAAGACUGACGCUCAGGUGCGAAAGCGUGGGGAGCAAACAGGAUUAGAUACCCCGGUAGUCCCUGUCUCUUAUCA